UUGUUGAAACAGUGUAGUACUAGCAGGGCAUUACAUAAAUAUGAAGUAAGUAGUUCUCCUAAACUUAGUAUAUCUUGAAAGAGAAUAUUAAACUGAUGAAUGUGAAUUCCCAGCUAAAACGUGAACCAUUUCUCACUUGAGCUGAUGAAGUUCAGUUUCUUUGUCAUUUCAACACAGCAGGAAAGAAAUGUAAUUUCAGAAGAGAUGUAUAAAUUCACAGUAGAGGAAAAUAAGUACGCAGUUCCACGCACGGUCUGCCUCUCUAUGUACUCAGUGAAAUUUGUUCCAAAUACAGUCUAACAAACAAACAACUUUUCUUGCUUUCUGCAAUCUGUGCAGUGGAAGAUCUGGCUUCCACAUGUUCCUACACCACAGUAAACCAGGAAAAGUUGUAUUAUUAUUUUUUUUAUUUUACUUUUAAGGGACAAACAAAAGCCACAUUCCAUAAAAAGUGUUUUAGAAAUCAAGACAUAUCAAAUCCUGUUAUGGUCUCUGCCUAUUGCAGGAAGACUGAAAAGAUGAAUUAAAACUGACAUCCAGUUCUGCAGAGGUUCCUAUUCCCUGGAAAGAGCUGGAUAACCUGGAGUUUGGCACUUGUGACUCACCCAUGAGAUGAUGGAGAGGGAGGUAUUUCACAUGGUAUGCAUAGAAACCACCCUUCUAGGCCAGCUGAAAAGGAACAGAGAUCAUAGCCUAAAACCAUACUGCUGUAAGUGGGUACUUUACACCACCCACUGUGAGAGCAGCCUAGAAAGUCUUACUGGCAGAAACAGUGAAAUUUCUCUGAAGACUAGACGUCCACAAGGAAGCCACGUAAGUCAAACUAAACAAACAAGAGUAAAACUGGAUACUGAAUGAGAUGGCUCUGUCUUCUAUAUAUGUCACAUUUUAAAACAGCCAUAUUUUGGACAUUCUUUAGAGAGCUCAAAAUAUGUUUUAUAGGCUUUUGUUCUCUGUGCUUCUUUUGUGAACUCCUGUACCAGUGAAAUAUGUGAACAGUCUUCAGAAAUAGAAAAACGUGUACAGCUGACAUAAAUGUCUCGUCCUUUCCAGAUUGCACACUGGUCAUUAGAAUCUCUGUUGUGCUUUAGAACUAUUGAGAUCACAAGAGAGAUCAUGGAUAGGCUCAGAGUAAAUGGAUGAGAACCAGACCAGGAUACAACAAAUUCCUAGCACUAAAAGCAAUGGUCUGUUGGAUCUUAAACCUGUAAUAAACCAAGGGCCAACUAUUGCA
rnacentral:lncRNA from 1 species